UCCCUUUUUCUCAAAGAUGCUACAAUACAUCUUUUGUAUUUCCUCAUAAUGAACAAAACACACACAGACAUGUCUUAAUGAAAACAUAUUUUACUCACUUUAAAAGUGAGUAAUAGGCAACUAAUGAAUCUUAGAAAUGAUCCAAAGAAAGUCUUAGAGCAUUACUUAACAUAUUACCUUACAGGCUUGACGCACUCUAAUGAAUGCACUCAGAACUCUUUAUGCGUUUGCUGCUGUGUCAACAGGAAAGAUGAAAAGCGAGAGCUGUACAGCGGCUGGGAGAGCUCUGGUACAGACAACGGAUCGAAUGAUGAUGAUGCAUUUCAUGACUGGCAGAAGUCUAAACAGCAAGAGAAAUGCAGAUAUUUGGAUGAAAGUAACAUUGUGUUAUCGCCUCAUUUAACUGUUAAGCCCUGGUUCUCUGGUUCAGAGGGGAAUGAUGUGGCAGAAAAACCAUGCCCAAGAUGUGACACAUCUCAAGAUAAUGCUCCUUCUAAUAAAUCUCCGGUGGCUCUCCCAGCAAGGCCCAACGAUUUGAGCCAAAGCGCUUCAGACAUGGAAUGUUUCCCAAUAAACUCCAUGUCCACUCACUCAAUGACCCACAAAACAAAUAUCAUUUAUAGCCCCAGUCCAAGCAUAUUGGAGCUAAAACGGAGUCAGCCGUUAGCACGAUGGUCUCCUGCCACUCGUGAGCAGACAUCUGAGGAAUCAGUGCCCUGGCGAUGUAAAGCAUUUGCUCCAAUGAACCGUGAAGCAAAACCUGCUGAACCUCCGCAUCUCUGCAAAUGGCCAGCUGCCCAGAGAACGGAAUGGUACCAUGAAAGCUUGGCCAGACUGGCACAUCUGGAGAUGCAGUCACCCCAAAAUGCACUGCCUUUUAGCAGACGCAGGCCAGUUAUCCAGAAGCCAGUUGUAGGUCAUAAAGGAGUGCAGACGCAUAGCCGACAUGUUGAGAAAAGCUUCUGCUGGACAUCAGCAUCCAAAGGCCUGCUCAAUGAAGAUGGCACAAGGCCAGCUACACUAAUAGACCCAUGUAACCAAGCCCUGUAUAGCUGUUUGUGGAGUGCAGUGCAAGCAGAAGCAGAAGGCUGUGGCAAGGAACUGGGGCAACAAGACAGCGGUCACAGGAACAGUGUGAGCUGGUUGUCGGACAUGCUGUGUCCAUCAGGAUGCCAUGAGAACGGCACGUCCUCCACCAUUUCACAUGAUAUCACCUUAUUCCACAUUCUACAAGUACUGCAGAGCAAACCAGUACAUUUCCCACAGGUCAGAGGACAGAGACGCCUUCGAGACACUUCUUAGUCUGAAUGCUUGAAUCCAUCCUUGAGAAGAAUGUAAUCAUUUUCUAAACUCACAACAUAUCACUCUGGCAAACAGCAGCCAAGCAAGACGCAGUUUCUCCAGCUACACACAGUGAAUCCUGGGUUGAUUUGAGUUCCAGUUGUCAUAGCUCACGAUCAAAAAACACAGACCAGAGGGGGAAUGGGUGUGGUCAUUGUGCAAACAGCAGUACACAGAUAUGCUGGGGGGGCGGGGUGGGGCAGGGCUGGGGAGGGGUAGGGUCCAAAACACCACCAUAGAGGAUAUGACUGACGCGGGUAGUGUUGCACCAUGACUAUGACGACUGCACGGUAAAGAGUGUGGAUGUCCAAUGCGUCUGCCACACUGCUGACUCAAGGUCAUGUGACUUCAUCGAAGGCGAUGUGAUUCUGUGAGAGACAGAUGAGAUGAUAGCACUUUAGUAUACAUUCAGCAUCUACUUCCAUCUAGAAUGAACAAAUGUGAGCAUUUCCUCACAGUGUCUUGGUCCAAAAAUAACUACAUUUAUCCCUCAUGCAUAUACAGGCUACAACAUGGCAGACUGUCAGGACAUUGUAAUGUGUUAGAAUAAAAACUUCCUGCAGUCUGGGAUGUGAUUAGUCUGUAAUCUUCAGGGAGCUGUGUGGAGCUGGUUUGCUGGUAAAAAGAGGGGAAUUGAAUUAGUUUUGAGCAGCCAUUCUAGCUUUGUGCCACUUGGAAUCUGAUGAGGUGUUAAGGAGAAGCACAACAUAAAGCCAGGGAUGUAGCCAUGCAGCACAGCCACUAGUGGCCUUGUGCUACCUUAAUAAUGUUGUUCAGCUGCAAUAUAACCCCUGUCUGAAGGCCAAAUCUGAAAGCAAAGGAGUCCAUAUCAGAGGAACACAAUUUGUACAUGGUAAAGGAGAGCUGUCAUUCAUCAGGCUAUCAGGCUGUACAAAUUUUUAUCCCAAUCAGGAAGCAUUGCUUGUUCUUUUCCUGCACUUACAUGAACUGUUCAGAAUUAGACAAGGGGUCUAAAAGUUUUAAACUUGUGCGUAACAACCACCAAUACACGCAAGAAAAUUGGCAUUUAUGAGGCGUAUGUGCACAGCUGU